GGAAUCCUCAGAGAAGGAGGGUGAAUAGAAUGCUCUGUUUAAACAGUUUAGCAAGGCCCACACAAGAUAGGAGGAUUUUAGGAGAUAGAAUGAAUUAAGCUGUAAUAUUUCCAGCAUGGCUUGAGUGUAUUAAUCACUUGUUAAUUUUGGAAGCUGCUGAAUCAACACAACCUCCUCCACCUCUCAUUUUCAACUUCAGUAAGACGCUGCGGGCCUUGGUGACAACAGAACUGUCCCCAGAACCGCUGACCCUGCCAACAAUAACAAAUUGCUUCAGUUAGAAAUUCCAUUUUGCUUCAAGCAAUAAAACCCUACGGAAAGACAAAUGUCUAUAUUUUUCUUGGAUCAGAUUUUGCACAGACCGUACCAGGUCGGUGCCGUUGUUCAUGAAGCUACCAAGGACCGCGGCUCCUCUUCCCUUUCAGUUUUCACCAACUUGGUUCAUUUCAGCCAACAAAUGAAAUGAUGCUCAAAUUCUAUGGCUUCUAUAAGCAGGCAACUGAAGGA